CAUGCAGUCGAACGGUGAAGCCAAGCUUGCUUGGUGGUAUGCAGUGGCGUAGCGGGUGAGUAACACGUGAGCAACCUGCCCUGAACUCUGGGAUAAGCGCUGGAAACGGCGUCUAAUACUGGAUAUGAGCUGCGGAGGCAUCUUCGUGGUUGGAAAGAUUUUUCGGUUUGGGAUGGGCUCGCGGCCUAUCAGCUUGUUGGUGAGGUAAUGGCUCACCAAGGCGUCGACGGGUAGCCGGCCUGAGAGGGUGACCGGCCACACUGGGACUGAGACACGGCCCAGACUCCUACGGGAGGCAGCAGUGGGGAAUAUUGCACAAUGGGCGGAAGCCUGAUGCAGCAACGCCGCGUGAGGGAUGACGGCCUUCGGGUUGUAAACCUCUUUUAGCAGGGAAGAAGCGAAAGUGACGGUACCUGCAGAAAAAGCGCCGGCUAACUACGUGCCAGCAGCCGCGGUAAUACGUAGGGCGCAAGCGUUAUCCGGAAUUAUUGGGCGUAAAGAGCUCGUAGGCGGUUUGUCGCGUCUGCUGUGAAAACCCGAGGCUCAACCUCGGGCCUGCAGUGGGUACGGGCAGACUAGAGUGCGGUAGGGGAGAUUGGAAUUCCUGGUGUAGCGGUGGAAUGCGCAGAUAUCAGGAGGAACACCGAUGGCGAAGGCAGAUCUCUGGGCCGUAACUGACGCUGAGGAGCGAAAGGGUGGGGAGCAAACAGGCUUAGAUACCCUGGUAGUCCACCCCGUAAACGUUGGGAACUAGUUGUGGGGUCCAUUCCACGGAUUCCGUGACGCAGCUAACGCAUUAAGUUCCCCGCCUGGGGAGUACGGCCGCAAGGCUAAAACUCAAAGGAAUUGACGGGGACCCGCACAAGCGGCGGAGCAUGCGGAUUAAUUCGAUGCAACGCGAAGAACCUUACCAAGGCUUGACAUACACGAGAACGCUGCAGAAAUGUAGAACUCUUUGGACACUCGUGAACAGGUGGUGCAUGGUUGUCGUCAGCUCGUGUCGUGAGAUGUUGGGUUAAGUCCCGCAACGAGCGCAACCCUCGUUCUAUGUUGCCAGCACGUAAUGGUGGGAACUCAUGGGAUACUGCCGGGGUCAACUCGGAGGAAGGUGGGGAUGACGUCAAAUCAUCAUGCCCCUUAUGUCUUGGGCUUCACGCAUGCUACAAUGGCCGGUACAAAGGGCUGCAAUACCGCGAGGUGGAGCGAAUCCCAAAAAGCCGGUCCCAGUUCGGAUUGAGGUCUGCAACUCGACCUCAUGAAGUCGGAGUCGCUAGUAAUCGCAGAUCAGCAACGCUGCGGUGAAUACGUUCCCGGGUCUUGUACACACCGCCCGUCAAGUCAUGAAAGUCGGUAACACCUGAAGCCGGUGGCCCAACCCUUGUGGAGGAGCCGUCGAAGUGAUCGAU
rnacentral:rRNA from 1 species